ACUGCUAAAGCAACGAUCAGCUUGGAGGCUGUCCGUUGCCCAGUCGAUAAGUUAGUAAUUUUCAUCCGGUCAUUCAAGCCAAAAACCUUUAGGAGACGGUUUGCUAGAUCAUAGUCAAAAUUAUUAUAAGCGGCAUCGGCCAAGUCAAAGGUUUGACUUAUCUUCAUGUGACGCGGAUAAAGAUUAACUUCACUCAUCAAAAAGAUCUUGCUGAGGAGGUCAUCAUUGUUAUUAACGUCUUCAUUACCAAUUUUUACUUCCCCGCUCGUUGGAAAAAUCCGGUUGCUCAUAAUAUUAAGAAGAGUCGUCUUUCCAGCCCCAUUCCGGCCAAGGAGACCAUAAAUUUUAGCAGGUUCUAGGAUAAAUGAAAUAUUAUCCAAUACUGUUUGGCGACGGUACUUUUUGACAA
rnacentral:rRNA from 1 species